CCUUUGUCCUCUGAGUGGACAAGCAGUUCCGGUGCCGUGUUCCAGUCCCGUCCCUUGCUUGUUGCUAUUGGUUGUUAGACGACAUCAAACCGGCGUGCAAGCUACUGGAGCAUGCGCACAGCUAAUUGUGAUUGUGAGCGUGCGUGCCUGGAGCAAUGGAAGGAAUGAAAUGUUCCUCCAUAACAUCCACAAACAGUGAGUAAACGUUAGAGAGGAGGGCAGUGUUGGUGCUAUACGCCAGCAAGAGGGUUGCAUGAUUGCCCAGUUUAGGUCUCAAGUCCCAAACAGCGCUUUUUCGGUUUCGCUGUUGAGACCCUAAGACUUCUUCCCUGAAACAGGCCGCAGGCCAACGCCGACGCCUCCGCAUCUUGGUUUAGUGGGAAGUGCGCAGGCGUGGUUAGCGUGGUGACGUAGCAGUGACGGCGGGGUCCUGUGUUGCCCCACCCCCGGCUCCAUCUCCCACCCCCCGCCACUCUUAUUCCUUUCGUCCCCAGUCUGUCCUAGUGUCUCCGUCUGGGGCCUUGCAGUUUUGUUUUAUUAGUCCCGAUGGGAGGGUUUACUGCGGUAGAAGUGCAAUAUGAAGGUCAGAUGAAGCUGGAUGUGAUAAAAAGCAGUAAUCCCACCAGAAUCCAACUCUGUAACCCCGUACAAGUUUACAGGUGUCUCAGCAGCUGGGUGUCUUAAUCUUUCCUGCACAUGGAGCACGGGAAUGGUCUGACCCCGGUGUAACUGCACCACUGGGUGGCCAGCUCAGGUGGGGAACUGUAUCACUGUCAUUGUCCUGAUAUUUCCACAGUAUCUCCAUAGGGUGGGUAUCUGUAGUCUCUCCUGGCUGGGUGAUCAGGUAAAUUCUAAUUCAGUGGACAGAACAUCCAUAUAGUUCCUGUUAACUGUCUGUGGUGAGAUUUUUAUUUCAGUCUAUGUUAAAGCUCUUUCCGCUGUCAAUUCACUGGAACACUCACUCAGUCUGUGUAAUUGGUUACGACUCUUUCGACAGUCUACUGGAAGACCAUAUGUAAUAGGAACAGGAGUAGGCCAUUUAGUCCCUUGUGCCUGUUCUGCCAUUAAAUAGGAUUGCGGCUGAUCUGACAUUCCUGAUGGCCACUUUUCCAGCAUUUUUCAUGUAACCUUUAAUUCCCCUACUGAUCAAGAAUCUACCUAUCUCUGCCUUAAAAAUACACAAAGACUCUACCCUGUCAGCUCUCUGUAGCAAGAAGUUCCAAAGACACUCAGCCCUCUGAGAUGAAAACUCUCUGCAAUUCAACUUUAAAUUAUUCUGAGACUAUGCUUUCUAGCCGAGACUAGCCAAUGAGAGGGCAAAUCCUGUCAGCAUUUACCCUGUCAAGCCACUUCAGAAUCUGAUUGCAGCAAUGAACAUUCAACAACUUGACAACUGGAUAGAAAACGAGAGACACAGCAGCCACUCCAGAAGCUUCCAAAAUCACUCUGCAUCUUCUUGAACUGCUGCAGUCCGCGUGGUGAAGAUGCUCCCAAAUUGCUGUUUGGAUGUGGGCAUCACUGGCUCGGCCAGAAUUCAUCGCCCAUCCAUGAUUGUCCAGAGGGCUGUCAAGACUCAACUGCAUUGCUGACUGGCUGGAGUCACAUGUAGGCCAGAUCCGGGAAUUGGAAAGGGAGAAUUUACAGACAGGCAGCUCAAGUCAAACAUUGGAUCAAGAGCUGCCAGUAACACUCAAUUCUCAGGAGCUUUGCACAUGGAAGGAAAAAGCAUCGUUCACAGUGAAGAGAAAACAUACAUGUGGUCUGUGUGGACAAGCCUUCAGUCAAUUGUCUGGCCUGUCAAUAUGUAAAUGCAGUGAAAACAGUGACAACAGUGACAUCAGGCAGCACUUGCUUUGUAAUAUCAUGGUCAUGGAUCUCAGUUUGAGUUAAGCAAGGGCCAUUCAGCUCCUGAUCUCCUUACAUUCUUGGUGCAAACAUGGACCAAACGGCUGAAUUCCAAAUGUGAGAUUGACUAUCCACUGUCUUAAGGCUCCAUGUGACAGAGCAUUGUAUCAAGGAAUAGUAGCAAAGCUGAAGUCAAUGGGAAUCAGAGAAAAUUAUUCUUCCUUUGAUAGCCAGUUUUUGAAAAGAUUGCGUCUUCCGAUCUCAGUAAAUCGAAACAAGGUGAAUUUAUUCAAACUUGUACCAUAUAAAUGCGGAAGAGGCCUCUAAGUUUACCUCGGAGACGCUCUACCAUUGACAGCUCAAAACAGCAUAUUAAGACACUUUCAUGUCAGAAUGGUUACAUGUAACAUUGGUAUAAAAUAAAUUAUAUGUCAGUCAUUAACCUCAA